rnacentral:rRNA from 1 species
GACGAACGCUGGCGGCGUGCUUAACACAUGCAAGUCGAGCGGUAAGGCCCUUUCGGGGUACGACGAGCGGCGAACGGGUAGGAGUAACAACGUGGGUGGACCUCGCCCUCCAGCUCUGGGAGUAAGACCUCGGGAAACGUAGGGUCGUAAUAACCGGACGUAUGACUCCAUGACGCAUGUUGUGGGGUGGGAAAGACCUU